rnacentral:lncRNA from 1 species
AGACAUUUACCGAUGACUGGGAAAGAACUCGACGUUUACCGACAUCGAACAAUGAUGUUUACCGACACCAAAGAAAGGACACACGACCAGACAUUUACCGAUGACAGGGAAGGAACUCGACAUUUACCGACAUCGAACAAUGAUGUUUACCGACACCAAAGAAAGGACACACGACCAGACAUUUACCGAUGACUGGGAAGGAACUUGACGUUUACCGACAUCGAACAAUGAUGUUUACCGACACCAAAG